UAAGGAAUUUUCGGCAAUGGAGGAAACUCUGACCGAGCAAUGCCGCGUGAAUGAUGAAGUAUUUAGGUAUGUAAAGUUCUUUUAUAGAGGAAGAAAGCUUCUUUGAAGUGUGACGGUACUCUAAGAAUAAGCCCUGGCAAACUAUGUGCCAGCAGCCGCGGUAAUACAUAGAGGGCGAGCGUUAUCCGGAUUUAUUGGGCGUAAAGGGUGCGUAGGCGGUAAUUCAGGUCUUUAGUUUAAAUGCAGUACUCAAUACUGUAUCGCUGAAGAAACCAAAUUACUUGAGUUAGAUAGAGGCAAGUGGAAUUUCAUGUGUAGCGGUAAAAUGCGUAAAUAUAUGAAGGAACACCAGAGGCGAAGGCGGCUUGCUGGGUCUAUACUGACGCUAAGGCACGAAAGCGUGGGGAGCAAACAGGAUUAGAUACCCCCGUAGUCC
rnacentral:rRNA from 1 species